rnacentral:ncRNA from 1 species
CAACCUCAACUCAUAUGGGACUACCCCCUGAAUUUAAGCAUAUUAAUUAGGGGAGGAAAAGAAACUAACAAGGAUUUUCUUAGUAGCGGCGAGCGAAAAGAAAUCAGUUCAGCACUAAGUCACUUUGUCUAUAUGGCAAAUGUGAGAUGCAGUGUACGGAACAUCAACAUUCUAGUAUGAGAAGUUAACGAUUUAAGUCCUUCUUAAAUGAGGCCAUUUACCCAUAGAGGGUGCCAGGCCCGUAUAACGUUAAUGAUUACUAGAUGGUGUUUCCAAAGAGUCGUGUUGCUUGAUAGUGCAGCACUAAGUGGGUGGUAAACUCCAUCUAAAACUAAAUAUAACCAUGAGACCGAUAGUAA